GCAUUGGUAGUUCAGUGAUUGAAUUUUCACCUUCCAUGUGGGAAACCAGGGUUCGAUUCCCAGCCAAUGCA
rnacentral:tRNA from 1 species